rnacentral:lncRNA from 1 species
GAGCUAAUGUAUAAAUGUAUUUGGUUACACAGUACAAGUUUGACAAGGGUUAAGUGUUCAAUCCGAUUAUUAUUUUCAUGAUGAUAAAUAUUAAUGUUAUUAUAAACACUUUUAAGUAACAUUCAAUUAGAUAAAAUUCAAAGUGAUUUGAAACACAUAAAUUUCUUUGCCCCCAUUUCUCUUAAUCCUCCAGGGCUUUGCUAGGCUCUACCCUCAGGCAAAAAUAUCUUUUGCUUUGAAGUUCAUUUUAUUUCAUUAUACCUCCCUGGAUUUAUUAGUGUGGCCUAUUAAUGUUUAGGUUAUUUAUUUUCAUUUAUUAAGGCCUUUCUAUAAGAUAUUCUCUUUCUUCUUUAACUUCUUUCCAGAAUUCCUAAUGUCUGCAGAAUGGACAAAGGCUAACCCAUCCUCAAUCCUGGAUUCCUCUUUAAAACAGUGCAGCAAAAGAGAAGGGAGACAUUCAUUCCCUCCAUCUGAAACGACCAUGGAGAAAAUAGAGUCGAGGUGUAAUAGAGCUUAAAAUCAACUUUAUUAAAUUGAAUUUCUCCAGAAUUGAGAAGACAUCUCACUUUUUCUAUAGCCUUCAGGUGCUAAAAUGACAUGCCCCAGGGAAGUAUCUGAGCAAGUCAUAGCAAAAUGUUACCAUUUUGCCUCUGGUUGGAGCACUAGAAAUCCUGCCACUCAGUUCUACUCAAGCAGAGAGGAAACAACUCUGGACUCAAAAUCAAGAAACCACUCAUAGACACAGAGGGUAUUUUCCAGUAAGUAUAUUCCUAGUCUUAAAAAGUAUCAGAGGGCCAGCUAAAAUUCCUAUCACAUAUUUUACAAGAUCUACAUGCAUCCUGCAUAUCAACUUGGCUAUCUGAGUGUCACUUUAUGGGGUUGGCAGAACAAAUAUCUCACCAAAGAUCAUGUCUAAAUCACUGGAAUUUAUAAAUAUUGUAACUUGUGUGGAAAAGAGGGCAUGGCAAAUGUGAUUAAGGUUAUGGUGUGGAGAUUAUUCUGGAUUAUCUAUGUGACCACAACCUAAUCAUGAGUCCUUAAAAGCAGAGAAACUUUCCUGGUGAUCAGAGAGAAAUGUGACCGGAAGUUCAGAGAGAUGUAACAUAAGAACAAUGUGUCUCUCUACUUCUAGUUCUGUGAUGUGUGGGGGCUACAUCCAAAGACUAGAGAGAGUUUUCUAGGACUUGAGAAUGGCCUCUAGCUAAUAGCCAGCAGGAAAAUGGGGACCUCUGUCCUUCAACUGCAAGAAACUAAAUUCUGCCAACAGAAGAAUGAGUAGAGAAACAGAUUCUUCCUGCAGCUUGCAAGAAGGAACACAGUUGUGCUGUCACUUUUUUUAUUCUAGGGAGACCUAUACCAGACUUCUGACCUACAACAACCCUAAGAUAAUAAAUAAAAUUGUAUGGUUUUAACUCA